GUGCUCGCUUUGGCAGCACAUAUACUAAAAUUGGAACAAUGCAGAAAAGAUUAGCAUGGCCCUGCACAAGGAUGACACGCAAAUUCGUGAANCAUUCCACAUGUUC
rnacentral:snRNA from 1 species